AUCUUUAAUUACUUUUAUUCAAGUAAAAUACAUGUUAUUUUCAAAAGUGUGGGGUUUUAAAUACGCGCAAGCCAGGCUUGCUUAGAUUCAAUAAUGAUCCUUCCGCAGGUUCACCUACGGAAA
rnacentral:misc_RNA from 1 species